rnacentral:pre_miRNA from 1 species
UGAAUGAACAUCAUUGAGUGCAGCGUUGAUGUAAUUUCCUUUUUUUUUCAUUGUUGAAUGGAAUUAAAAGAAUUUACACCGGCGUUGCGCUCAAUUAUGUUUUUC